AGAUAUGUAUUUGUCUACUUAUUCAUCUGAUGACUAUUUAAGUACCUACUAUAGGGCAGCUUUCCCAGAGUCCUUAGUCUGAAAGAAAAACCCUAUGUGCUGAGCACUGGGUUCUAUUAGUUUUAUGGGUAUUACCCCCAUUUAAUCCUCACAGUAGACCCAGGAAGUAGAUGCUCUUAUUUCCAUUUUACAAGUAAGCGGACACAGGGAGAGAAAGGCAAAAUAACUUGCCCAGGACCACACGGUUUGUGAGUGGCAGUGCUGGGAUUCUGGGCAGCAGUCAGUCCACACUCUUAACCAGGGCCCUCUGCUGGGCAAUUAGAAAUUGUGUGUGAUUUGUGCUCUACUUGGGGAGCCAGAGCCUGGUGAGGGGGUCCUGGGAGGUCAUGGUCGGCUAUGGGACAGACCAUUGAGUGAUGUUGUUUAGGUCUUAACCAUACCAAAGUAUCGCAUGCCUCCAGCUGCCUUGAGACUAGGGCCACAUCACACACUGCAGAGGAUUCGAGUGGAAAUGAGUAGACCGCUAAAUGGAGGACCACAGGUGCCCACGUGCAUGCAUUCCUCCCUCCCAACAGCUGCUUUCCAGGCAUCUUCCAGGUCCAGAUUCUUAAGGAUGAGGACACAGCAUCCUGGGCCACUGCCGCUAAUACAAAUUUGCCUCUGGAGGGACUCUACAGAAGAUAAUUCCCCUGAAAUAUGGAGAGUUGAAUUAAGCUAGAACUGUUUCUGCCUGGAAUUUGUGGUGGCUACUUACCCUAGAGGGCCUGAAGGAAACCCACAAUUUGGGACAACCCUGACAGUUUCUAGAGUCUAGAACAGAACACCUGCUGCUACCAGGGAUGGAGCUUAACAUGGGCGAGACCAACCACCCAGCUCAUGACCUGUGUACAGAGAAGAUUACAUUACAGCCUGAGAGCUAAGCCUGGAAGUUCUUUCAUCCAUCUGUUUGUCCAUUCAUCCGCCCAUCCAUCCACCCACCCACCCAUCUGCUCAUCCAUCCAUCCACCCACCCACCCAUCUGCUCAUCCAUCCAUCCAUCCACCCACCCAUCUGUUCAUCCAUCCAUCCAUCCACCCACCCACCCACCCAUCUGUUCAUCCAUCCAUCCAUCUACCCACCCACCCAUCCAUCCAUCUGCUCAACAAAUGUCAGAGAAUCAAUCCCUGUGUCAGACACUGGGGCUGCCCUCAAGAAGCUUUUACAGAGUUCAGGGUACAGCCGGUAGGGUAGACAGACUACUGUAAAAACCUACCACUAUAAAAAGGACAAGAGAAAAAAUAGUAAAGAGGAGAGAAGGCCCAAAUUUGCCUAGUGGGUCACAGAGGGCUUUCUAGAGGAGGUGAAAAAAUCUGUGGGGCCAUCACUUCACCUCACCUGGUGGAUAAAGGGAGGACUUUCCAGAUACAGUGGACAGCAUGUGCAGAGGCAGGCGCAUGAGUGGCAGUGGAUCAUGAAGGGCAGAGGCAGGGCAGGGACUGCAGAGACAGGCUGGAGCUGCAGCAUUGGAGCCACAGCCAGAGGAACAAACUGUGAGACCUGGGACUUGAAUUUGGAAGCAGUGAAAAGUGACAACAAGGUUCUUCAUAAAAGAGUUAUUUUAUCCAACUUAUGGAAGGUUGGCUCCGGACCAAUGCUGUGGUCUGUGGGCUGUUACCAGUUCAUGACGAUGUAAGUAGAGGAAUUGAGAGUAAGCAUGUAGAACACGUGGAGUACUCUGAUAGAGUCAUUUUCGUUUUUAAUUUUUGAGGUAGCAUUUUCUAUGCCUGUUUAUUCUAUUUUUCUAGUAGUUGCACUUUAUCACAUUUUACAAAUGUGUGGGUCUGCUAUGAAUUAGAAAUUUUGAAAAUUGAAAUUUUGAAAGAAAUUAGAAAAUGAGAGAUUUUACCACAGACAGUGUGAGAAGCCCAGCAUUGCCACUCAGAAACUGCUGGUGCAUUCAGGUGGUGAAAUAUUCUGCAGCUAUUAAAGGCAUUAAAACUGCCUCCGCUGACCUGGAUGUCCAUCUGUGACACCCUUUAGGUGAAAAGGAAAAGGAAAAUUUGCUUAGGACUGAAUAUGAGUGUUUGCAGUUUUGUAACAAUGAUGCAUGCACAUAUACAUUUUCAUAUAUUUGUGUAAACAUGAACAUAUCGAAAGAUAUUCAUCAAACUGCUAAGACGGUUGCUUCAGAGCAACGGACUUGGAGAAGGCAGAUUAAUUUUCUCUUAAUGGAGCUCUGUAUUGUAUCACUUGUAAAAAUAAGCAUGUGUCACCUUUAUGAGAAACUAAAAACGUAAAAAGAAAA